ACUUUUUUUUUUUUCUAUUUGGCGUCUUUUAUUUUCAUUUAUUUUUUCUUUUCACAAAAUCGCUCUCACGUGAAAGAGAAAGAGAAUAGAAACAAACAAUCGCUCACAACCGAUGCUCCGACCAACUGAUCCGUCAGCCGUCUCAAAACAUAGCUCUCUCUCCGUCGUCCCCGCCGCCGGCGAAACUUUCAGCCGGUGAACUCUCACAGCAGCACAUAUCUAUUCAACUUAGAGGUUCGAUUUCCGUCCAGGUUCGAUUUGAAAUCGGCGAGGAUCUAAUUGAGUGGACGCUGAUCUUUUCUGAUAAGCGAAUACAGUGAAAGCGAUUCGCCGAAGCUUAAUUUGCGAAUAAUCAUUUGGGAGUUAGGUUUUUGGCAUCGCAUGAAAUCAAUCAAUCUACUGUUACAGAUCCAGAUUUAGUUAUCUUAUCUUCUGAUUUCUGAUUUUUGAUCCAGACUGGUUAGUUGAAUAAGUGCAUGUAGUGCUGGUUGAUUAGGAACAUGAUAUUGAUCCUGCUUUGAAUUUACCAUUCCACUUUUUGACUUUGUCUUUUUACUUAACUCUUCAAAGGAAGUCUGAAUUUUUGCAAAUGGCUAGCAACAUGCGUGGUUUUCAAACCUGGAACAUCCAUUAAUUGAGUAAUUUGUUUUGGCAUUGCCUUAUCGAUACGAAGUUCAUUCAUAACUAUUAAAAAUUAUUCUUGAAGUUUUGGUGAUGACCGCCAUGAUACCUGAUUUUUCUUUGUUUCUUUUGUUUUACUUUCUUCAUCUCUCUUCAUUAGUUUUUGUCUGUUUUUAGCACCUCCAAGAUUCUUUGAAUUUGAUCAUGUUGUUGAAUUGUUGCAACAUGUUGCCAUAUGUUGUUGAUAUGAUUCAGAUUCAAAUGCAUUAGCCAAUAAUCACAAGCUCCUUUUUCAAUAGUAUUGAUCCUUGCACUUGUUGUGUCAUCAACACACAUCAUAAUAACUGGAAUUUUGAUUUCUUGUGUAACACGUUGCGGAAACUCAUAUGAAUUCAUAUUUGGCAUUUAAGCUUCAAUUUUGUUUUGAUGUGGAUUCAUAUGAGUUUUUGUAACGUGUUAUACAAGAAAUCAAAAUUUGAGUCACUAUGAUGCGUGUUGAUGACACAACACGUGCAAGGAUGAAUGUUAUUGAAAAAGGGGCUUGUGAUUAUUGGCUAAAGCCUUUGAAUCUGAAUCAUAUCAACAAAAUGGGCAACAUGUUGCAACAAUUCAACAACAUGAUCAAAUUCAAAGAAGCUUGGAGGUGUUAAAAACAGGAUAAAAACUAAUGAAGAAAGUGAAACAUAAGAAACAAAGAAGAAUCAGGUAUCAUGGCGGUCAUCACCAAAACUUUAAGAACAAUUUUUAAGAGUUGUGAAUCAACUUGGCGUUGAUAAGGCAAUGCCACAACAAAUUAUUAAAUUGAUGGAUGUUACGGGUUUGAAAACUGCGCAUAUUGCUAGCCAUUUGCAGAAAUUUAGACUUCAUUUGAAUAGUUCAGUAAAAAGU